rnacentral:tRNA from 1 species
AGGGGUAUAGCUCAGUUGGUAGAGCGGCGGUCUCCAAAACCGCAGGCCGUAGGUUCGAGUCCUACUGCCCCUGCCA